rnacentral:rRNA from 1 species
CCCCGUUUUGUCGGCUGUUAUUGUCAUGUCCGUCGACGACCUACAGGCAGGUUGCUCCGCUGACGACAGGCGAACAGCUGAGUCAUAUAUCGGAACGUACCUUGGAGAGGGGGAUAACUACACAAAAGACUAGAUAAUACCGCAUACGAUCUGGGAUGAAAACGGAGGCUCGUAAGACCUCGAGCUCAUAGAGCGCUCGAGCCUGAUUACCUAGUUGGAAACCUGUAGGGUCACCUGGGCUACUGAAUCGACCUGGUCUGAGAGAAAGACCAGUCGCACUUGGACUGAUCCACCGCUCCCACUCCCACUGAAUGCCUGCGCUCGGAAGUUUGGAUAAUGGGGGCAACACCAAUUCACUCAUGUGUGGUAAUACAAUAAUCCCCACAAUCUGGUUAUUUCUUUUUUUUUUUCAGGCACGCCCAAGGCCAACAUAAUUUA